CCGCCCUGUGAAUAUGAAAGGUGCAUUAAUGAGAUUGGAAAGUAUACAUGCUGCCAACGCGGGUAUAUCGCCAAUAGGACAAUGCUGAACAGUGCCGGGAUUGAAGAAUGUACAGAUAUUGAUGAAUGCGAUGGGCCCACGAGCAGCAACUGCAGCCUGGCAUCAACGUCAUGCUUCAACACUCCCGGCUCCUUCGCGUGCUGUAGUCCUGGCUACCAACCAUUCCAAUCAGCUUGCGCCAGAGAGUACAGAGGCAAUCUUCUGAUACUUGAUCCAGUCAAUUAUCCGGCAAUGAAUUUUUCCAGGGCCGCUUCACUAUGUUCUCAGCUAGGGUUAGCGAUACCAAGUAGAACGGAGGAAAAAGAUAUGAUUGUCCAGGCAACCAGAGAUUUGAUAAUCAGUGACUUUGUGUGGUUCCGGAUGUUUGCCGAGCCAUUCGGGCUGGGACAGGUAUUCCUUGCCCAAACUAAUGCGUCCCGCGAAGAUUUGCAUAAUGUUGCCUGUGCAAGAUAUACUGGAUGCGCAUCUGGUUGUGGCCAGAAUGAACACUGCUCCAAGGACGGGUCGUGUGAAUGUACUUUGCCCUACUAUAGAGCUGACAACGGGUCGUGCCAACGU